GAUGAAGAACGUAGCGAAAUGCGAUAAGUAAUGUGAAUUGCAGAAUUCAGUGAAUCAUCGAAUCUUUGAACGCACCUUGCACCCUUUGGUAUUCCAAAGGGUAUGCUUGUUUGAGUGUCAUUGUACUCUCACACUCUCUGAUCCUUUGGAUUGGGAGUGGUGGACUUGGGUGUUGCUGCAGCAGCUCUUACUACGUGGCUCACCUCAAAUGCAUUAGUGCAACUCCUGGUUGGACAUAGUACGGCGUGAUAAGUGUCUUCGCCGGCGCCUCGCAAGAGGGUGGCUGAUUGGGAGCUCUGUGCUUCUUAACUGUCUUUGGACAAUCUCUGACAACUUGACCUCAAAUCAAGUAGGACUACCCGCUGAACUUAAGCAUAUCAAUAAGCGGAGGA
rnacentral:misc_RNA from 1 species